rnacentral:rRNA from 1 species
CACGCCGUAAACGAUGUCUGCUAGCCGUUGGGAUCCUUGAGGUUUCGGUGGCGCAGCUAACGCGAUAAGCAGACCGCCUGGGGAGUACGGCCGCAAGGUUAAAACUCAAAUGAAUUGACG